UACGAAGGGGGCUAGCGUUGCUCGGAAUCACUGGGCGUAAAGCGCACGUAGGCGGGUCUUUAAGUCCGGGGGGAAAUCCCGGAGCUCAACUCCGGAACUGCCUUUGAUACUGGAGAUCUUGAGUCCGGGAGAGGUGAGUGGAACUCCGAGUGUAGAGGUGAAAUUCGUAGAUAUUCGGAAGAACACCAGUGGCGAAGGCGGCUCACUGGCCCGGUACUGACGCUGAGGUGCGAAAGCGUGGGGAGCAAACAGG
rnacentral:rRNA from 1 species